GACGGGGGGGGCAAGUGUUCUUCGGAAUGACUGGGCGUAAAGAGCUCGUAGGCGGUUUGUCGCGUCUGCCGUGAAAGUCCGGGGCUCAACUCCGGAUCUGCGGUGGGUACGGGCAGACUAGAGUGCAGUAGGGGAGACUGGAAUUCCUGGUGUAGCGGUGAAAUGCGCAGAUAUCAGGAGGAACACCGAUGGCGAAGGCAGGUCUCUGGGCUGUAACUGACGCUGAGGAGCGAAAGCAUGGGGAGCGAACAGG
rnacentral:rRNA from 1 species